UACGGAGGGGGCGAGCGUUAUUCGGAAUUAUUGGGCGUAAAGGGCGCGUAGGCGGCCUGGUAAGUCAAAGGUGAAAUCCCUCGGCUCAACUGAGGAAUUGCCUUUGAAACCGCUGGGCUCGAGGCCGGGAGGGGGUAGUGGAAUUCCCAGUGUAGCGGUGAAAUGCGUGGAUACUGGGAGGAACACCAGUGGCGAAGGCGGCUACCUGGACCGGUUCUGACGCUGAUGCGCGAAAGCGUGGGGAGCAAACAGG
rnacentral:rRNA from 1 species